CAAUCUGGCACUGCCGUCAGUCGAUAGUGACUGCUGAUAGUAGAGAUUGGAGGCCUGCGGGGCGACAAUUUGAAUCAUAGCAGCAGCAGUAAAAGGAGGGAAAGACGCAAAGAAGUAGUUAAAGAAGAAGACAACGAAAAAAGAAGAAGGAGGCUGGAAGGCUUCGAGGGAACAGAAUGAGUCUCACUCGCCUGGCGGUGCGGCGGCUGCGGCCGCGGCCUCCUCGCCUGCUCGCCACGGAGGUGCAGUCCUCAGUGGCGUCUGCAAGGUCACCUCACCUCACCUCGUCUGUUCACCUCUGCGCCCCCAGCGUCGCCCCCUCCUUCUCAACUGCCCCUCGCCCCCUGUGCACGGCGGCCGCUGGGGCGCUGGACGGGAAAGACCACGCGCCUGCGGCGCACUGCCCUUCCGCAGCCGAGGUGGUGGAGGCCUCCCCGGGGACGACGCCCUGCGGGUUCAGUUCGCGACGGGAGCAGCCAUGACUUUCCCUCCUGCUGGCUCAGGGACAACUGCCAGUGCAUCUCUGCUACGACCACAAGUCCUUCACGAGGAAGCUUGUGCUCGACACUGGGACCAAGAGAUACCCUGUCCAUGUAGAGGUGCUGGCCCCUGACGUGCGGCUGAGGUGGAAGAGCGGCCACGAGAGCCUCUUCCACGGCCGCUGGCUCCACGACGCGCCUUCUCCGAGUCGUCCCGCCGGACGCAGAGGGCCUUCGGCGCUCUGGACAAGG